rnacentral:lncRNA from 1 species
AUGCCAAAUUUCAGAAUUUUAAUCUCUUCACUAUUGACUCUGGAUGCUGUCAGCCCGCUUCCUCCUUUUGUCGCAAUCUCUCCGUCUAAAGGUUAGCAUCACUGCGAUAGGAUUUGAUCCUCUUCUUUCCCGACGAUGAUGAACAUAAUUACAUUCUUAACAAGUGAAUUAAAUUACAGCAUGAUUUCUCUAACAAUGAGCGCUCUCCUCGCGACGGGCUGAAGAGAAGCUGAGCUGCUGGCAUGCGGGAGCCCACACCAUGCUUCAGAAUGAGCUCAGCAAGUUAUUAUUCUGUGCAAGCACGAUGCCCUCCCAGGACAACACUACAGGACGGCAUUUGCUUGGAUAAAACAGUUUGGCAACACUUGCUCUUGAGGAAAUUUGUGGUCUGUGCGUUGGGGAAUGACUCAGUGGAGCCAGGAGCUGUCUGAAAGCCCCCGCUGAGGAUUUGCUCUGAGCACAGCCUGCAGGGCUGGUGGGUGGGCAAACAAUGU